AAGAAGUUCGGUAAAUAUUCUUCACCCUUGAGGGGGAUGAAUGCAGUUGGUCGUAGUACAAUGAUGUGCUGGCUGCUCUUGCAACAAGACACAUCCUCCGUCAUGAAUUGAUCAUCUUUAUAUAUACUAUUCCAUUGCCUUUAAUCUAUCUUCAUCCCAUUUCCAUCCUCCAGGUUGCACGAAAAGGCUCUAGAUUUUGGCCCAACGAUGAUGGUCGCCACAUACACAUAUAUCUACAUACACACAGAUAGACAUACAUACAGAUACGUAUAUUUGUUUGCAUGCGUACACGAGUGAAUAGGGGCUCGUUUGAAUUAUGGUUAGCAUUUACACCCCUAUACGUAGUAACUAAGACCGGUGAUUCAGUCCCGAAUAUUAAAGUAUAGAGCAGGUGAGACUCUCUCUCCCUCAAAAAAUAUAAUUAGAAAGAUGAGUAUUAGCUUGUAGACCGGUGGCUCUACAUAUGGUCUCACAUGUAGCACGAGUGGCAACCUCCAUCAUGCAGGCCAAUUUCACGUAUGUUACACCAAGGUCUAAGGGAAUUCGGGCAUAGUGAAACUACGUUGUCCCUUCCAACCUUUUUGGCAUACUCAUCCAGUCGUAGGCUUCCUUUAAGUUUAACAUCCACGAAAAAUGGGGAGGAAAAAAUAUAAAAGGGAAGAAGAAAGAAAAAGUUCACCUCUAGAGGAGGCUACUUUCAUUGAAGAUAUGCACUAUAAAAGAUUCUCUCCACAUUCACCAUCAAAUUCAUCAUCACAUAUUCUCUUGCCGUCGGCAAAUAUUAUCCAAAUUUUCACAACUCAAAACGCAGGCCAAAUGCAGGAGGAGGCUAACUUGAUUUCAGAUAUGCACCAAGGGAUCAUCAACAGUCAUCACAUAUUUUGCUGCCGUCAACAAAUAUUUCCAAAUUUUUAUGACUCCAAAUGCAGACCAUAUGCCGCAAGCACGCGUGAACAUAAUAUAAUGAUUGCAACCACCAAUACUAAUCUCAGGAUUUCGUUCCAACCUUUAUCCAUGGACCAGUUGAAUUUUUUUUCUCUUCGGAUCGCCAACAUCAUUUCAUUACCUAUAAUUUCUGUGAUGAUAAGGUGUCUAUCCAAGAGACUAUGAGAGAAGGAUGUAAAAGAAUUUGGAGGUUUACAAGCAUGUAUCAUUUUAAGAGCCUAUGACAAGACAUUGCUGCAUCUAGUGGUGGAAUGGCAUAGCUUUCAGUCGUUGCCAGCAUCAGAAACCACCACCUCAACUGUCGAUUCUGCGGCUCCGUCCCCCAAAAGGGAGAUUCUUUUUUAUCUUUUGCAGAUAUGCAAGUGCAAAAGAGAUGUUAAUUCUCAUCCUAGUUGCUUCCAUUUUGCAGCCUCAAGAAUUUGUUGAAUAAAAUAUGUGAUAAUAAGUAUGUUACAUGGUGGAGUUAGGAUCCAAAUUUGUCAUCUCGGUAUUGGAUCCUGUAUUAAUAAAAUCUUAGUACAAUAUCAAUACAUGCAGCAUAGGGGCCAGUUCGAUAUA